GUUAUGGUGAGCCCAGUUUGUGGGGUAGGUGAACUGGUACUUUCAUGGUUUUUCGGAGUAUGAUAUCAUAAAGUUACUUUUAUGUGCAAGUACACAGCGAGAAAAAGAAUUGGUGAUAGAUAUAAUCUUUUGUAACAUGAGGAUGCCGAGUCUGACAUCGGAACCACUCUUAUCACAGUUACUUAUAGACGCUGAAGAUAAUAUAUUGGUGUCAUUUGUAGAAAACCAUAUUUUGUGUAGGCUCUCU
rnacentral:misc_RNA from 1 species